CCCUUAGAUGCUCUGGGCCGCACGCGCGCUAUACUGGUCGAUGCAACGAGUUUCUUUCCUUGGCCGACAGGCCUGGGCAAUCUUUGAACAUCGAUCGUGAUCGGGAUAGAUUCUUGUAAUUUUUGAUCUUAAACGAGGAAUUCCUAGUAAACGCAAGUCAUCAGCUUGCAUUGAUUACGUCCCUGCCCUUUGUACACACCGCCCGUCGCACCUACCGAUUGAAUGGUCCGGUGAAAUCUCCGGACUGGCGUGAGUCGGAGCAAUCUGACAAACGCCGGAAAGUUGAUUAAACCUUACCAUUUAGAGGAAGGUGAAGUCGUAACA
rnacentral:rRNA from 1 species